rnacentral:lncRNA from 1 species
AGGAUAUAUUGUAUUUGUGGGGAAUAACGGAUGUAUGUAGCGCAUAGAAGGAAACUUUUCCGACCCCAUAAAGUAUACAUACUCUUGAUCAGCAUCAAAAGCCGAGUCUAAUUAUCCGGGUCUGUCUGUCCGUCCGUCUGUGCGUCUGGUUAUCAGAGACAAUAAAAGCUGGAGCCACCAAAUUUUGCAUCCAGAUGGCUGUAUGCUCUCACUACUUC